rnacentral:rRNA from 1 species
UACGGAGGGUGCAAGCAUUAAUCGGAUUUAUUGGGCGUAAAGGGCGCGUAGGCGGGAUAUUAAGUCGGGUGUGAAAUCCCAGAGCUCAACUCUGGAACUGCAUUCGAAACUGAUAUUCUUGAGGGUAGGCGGAGAAAAUGGAAUUCCACAAGUAGCGGUGAAAUGCGUAGAUAUGUGGAAGAACACCAGUGGCGAAGGCGAUUUUCUAGCUUAUACCUGACGCUAAAGCGCGAAAGCAAGGGGAGCAAAC